ACGGAGGGUGCAAGCGUUGUUCGGAAUCACUGGGCGUAAAGCGCGUGUAGGCGGCCUCCUCAGUCUGGUGUGAAAGCCCGGGGCUCACCCCCGGAAGUGCAUUGGAUACUGGGAGGCUGGAGUACCGGAGAGGAGGGUGGAAUUCCUGGUGUAGCGGUGAAAUGCGUAGAUAUCAGGAGGAACACCGGUGGCGAAGGCGGCCCUCUGGACGGAUACUGACGCUGAGACGCGACAGCGAGGGGAGCAAACAGGA
rnacentral:rRNA from 1 species